rnacentral:lncRNA from 1 species
GUGUUUAACCACUCCUUACACCCUAAACUAAUUUUAUCGUUUUAUAGUAUACUUAAACUAUUUAAUUUGAUGAAUUAAACAUUUUAUUUUUCGAUAAACCUUUAUUUUUCCAUCAUGUGGCACUUAAACAUUAAGAAUUAAAAUUUUCACCGCUCUAACUUCCCGCCCCAAGUUCCCUUUCCUCCCUCAAAUUUGAAAUUUUCAACCCUACCCCUACAUUCCUUACUCUGUUGUUUAUCGUUUCUGAUCCUCCUCAAAUGAUAGAUUUAUCAUCCCGCUUUUGUUCUCUACCACAUUUAACGACGGCAUCAUCUCAGCGGCAGUGGCUCAGCGAUGACAUUUUGGUCUGAUGAGAAGUUUGUGAUAGAUUUGAAUUAAAGGGUUAUCAGGGAUGUGGAAUCGGUUAUGAAACCAUGGGGUGGUUCACAGGGAAAAUUAAUUGGUUUAUUGGCUCAUGGUGUAGAAAAAAAACGUCCGAGGCGUCUGUAUUGAGGUGCGUGUCUCGAGGCGAGACGGGAAGAAAUCGUUUUUGAGGCGGCGCAUCGCUGGUUAAUUAUGUUGUAAAUCACAUGAAAACCCCCUGGAUCAUUUUGUCUUUUUAAAUGUUUCUAGUUACAUUGUCCUAAAUAAUCCCAUUUUCUCUGUAGUCGCAUACCCCAAUAGUAUUGACAAAAGAGAUCACUCUUGCAGUGUCAUUCUUGAUUCAUUUGAGCUUUGGUAAUUAGUUUCACUGGUAUAAUCAUUGUUUUUGUUCAUCACCUGUUCAUGAGAUGGAUUCCAAGAUUUUGAAGAACUAGAGGUAUGCAAGGAAGCACAUGAAAUAGAGUGGGAAAAUUUCUAUAGAAAAAUAUAUGUUUUGAGACUUUGACAGCUCUAGCAACUUCCUUUCAUGUGCUACAACCUUUGACAUAUUCUAUAUCUCGCUUUGUAUGGGUUAAGUUACUAAGUGACAUAAAUUUCCCGCCGAAACAAUGAGUAGAAAUGGUCUGAAGAGGUGACCAUAGUUCCAACAUUUGAUGGUAGAAAUGUUUAACGGAGCCUUUCUUGAGGAACGUUGAACUUGUAUCUUUACCAGAAUUAUACCAUCUGACAGACAUCAACAAAGCUUGGAGGCUCUGAUGUGGGAGCUAUCAAACAACUAUCACUUGAAGAUCAAGACGAGUAGAAUAUUC